rnacentral:rRNA from 2 species
UGCCUGUCGAGCUUGCUCACGGGCUUUCUAUCAUAUCCAUAACACCUGUGCACUUGUUGGAUGUCUAGAGAUGAAAGUCGACAGUCAUCCACUUACACUAAACAAUAAUGUAACAAAUGUAGUCUUAUUAUAACAAAAUAAAACUUUCAACAACGGAUCUCUUGGCUCUCGCAUCGAUGAAGAACGCAGCGAAAUGCGAUAAGUAAUGUGAAUUGCAGAAUUCAGUGAAUCAUCGAAUCUUUGAACGCACCUUGCGCUCCUUGGUAUUCCGAGGAGCAUGCCUGUUUGAGUGUCAUGAAAACCCUCAACCUUAGAUUGGUUAUUUGACCUUUCUUUGGCUUGGAUUUGGACGUUUGCCGAUGUCAAGUCGGCUCGUCUUAAAAGUAAUAGCUGGAUCUGUCUCGCGACAUGGUUUGACUUGGCGUAAUAAGUAUUUCGCUAAGGACAUCUUCGGAUGGCCCUGUUGCAGGACUAAAGACCGCUUUCUAAUCCAUUGAUCUUCGGAUUAAUAUUCAUAACAUCUGGCCUCAAAUCAGGUAGGACUACCCGCUGAACUUAAGCAUAUCAAUAAGCGGAGGAAAAGAAACUAACAAGGAUUCC